GCUCGCUCCCCGACCCGCGGCCACGGGCGGGAGCGCGCAUUUCCAUGGGAAAUAAGCAAAACCGCAAAACCGCCGUCCUGCUGCGGUUGUGCUCAGCUCUCCGCGCACGCAGACACACGCACCUGGUGAAUUCCCCUGACGCGCUUAGUGAACGGCUUUGUCCGCCCUUCGGGAGCCGGGAGCCAGCCAGGAUUCUGACGUUAAGUCUGAAAUUUCUGCGGUUAAACGCGCUCUCCUAGUUUUGAUACAGAAAAAGGCAGCGAGUAACGCUUGUCAUGAACCUGACAGCCGGGCUGAUCGCCGCCUCUUUACGUUGGCACUUCACACGGUUGUCUCUGUUAUAACACAGUCACUCUUAGACGAGGUGCGCUGAAGUACUGCCGUGUUUGUCAGCAGCUGCUCCCACCAGCACUCAGGAAAGCCGGAGCCAGGGGUAUCCCGGGACUGCGAUGUGGAUGAGGCUUUGGUGUUAAACCACACGUGUGGUUUGGGACCCCAGGAGAUAUAUUUAAUGAGGAAUAUCCUGAGGGUUAUCUUCUGCACAUCCCCCUGGCCUACAACCCAUACGGUGAAAUUUUUCCUGUGUGGACAAGGGCUGAAAUUGGAGUAAUCUGUACAGAAAGAAAAGUGCCUACACAACUGUGAGCGGUUGUAUCCUAGAUACAAUACAAACAAGAAAAAUCAGGAAGAGAACUGCAACACCUUUUUCCAGAGGAAACAAAUACGUUAAACGAAAAGACAGAACUUAACACAGUCUAAAUGAGUAAUUCACAUCUUGGGAGAGGAAAAAGAAAUAAAGCCAACUCCAGAAGAGAGAUUACAAGAAAA